CCAAAUUUCAAUCCCAAACAUGAUGUAUAAUACCUAAUGGACACAAUAAUUUUCAAAUAGCAUUAAAUAAUCGUUAAAAGUCUCAAAGUUGGAUUUUAAGUCAUGGGGCAUCCUUCAUUUGCAAAAGAUACAUAUUUGGUUGGUGCACAAAUUCUUCCAUAAAGUUUAUUCAUACAUAGCCAAACGCAUCCCCUGCUUAACUGAAUUGCUGCAUGCUCAAUUAAAUUUCUAUUAAAAGGCUCCCAAUCCCAAAGAAAUCCGCAAUAUCAUAAUUAAUAUUAAAAUAUUAAUUAACAGGAAGCUCAAAUAAUGUUCUUGCAACCAAGUACCAGCUGCAGCCAAAGAAAAGAGCAAGCCAGCAAAAAAAAACUUCUCCUGAAAUACAUAGCAUCGAGGAUUCCCUUAUGCAUCGUAUUGGUAACAUGGGUUCUUGUAACAUCCCAGUUUGAAUUUCAAAGGCAAAUAUGUCUACAACUCACAUAUGAAUUUAAAUAACUCUUUACAAACAAUAAAAUUCGAGCCUCAAAUAUAAAAGCCAGCGGAAUAACUUAAAAAUUUAGCCAAACAAUCUACCAUCCUCAAUUCAAAUCCAUCUUCUUACUCAUCACGAAUCAAUCCUGACUUCUGAAAACUGAAUCACAAUAAACUAUAACGAGUACAAAACUCAGUAAGCAAACUAGUUUUUCUUAUACUAAAAUACAUACAUACUUAUACAUAAUGCAGAUGGAUAAUAUGUCAUGAUCUUUUGGAAAUAUUGUAAAACAAAUUCAUCAAAAUCUCUUUCUGUCACUUUCAAACUUCCAUAUUUUCUUUCAAUAAAAUACAUAUUCUGCAAUUGUGGCACUUUGCGUCGCUCUGACUCUUAAGAGGUGGCCUCCGCAUAGUCUCAAGAGGUGGCCCCCACACAACUUCAAGAGGUGGCCCCCAAUAUAAAAUCUCAUAAAACAGAAAUCUCAUUUGCUAAAAUCCAUUUUCUCAUUCAUAGAAAACUCAUUGCAUUUUCGUACUUAUGCCAAUGAAAUUUCACACAUACAUAUACCCAUGUACGUAAUCACGCCCAGCACAUAACAACACAUCACAUAAACACAUGAGCAGAGACAUAUAAAUCCAUAAUCGUACAUGUAAAAAAUAGGCUAUUCACACAAGUCAAACAUAUAUAUUGUUUAUUGUGAUUCAUUUAAAAGUCUAUUUAACUUACCUCUUGGCAUCCUCAUGCAACAAAUGCGUACUGAUAUCAUCAACCUAAAAUCAUCAAUAAAUUUCUUAGAAAAUAUAAUCAAGUCUCAAUAAUAAACUCUAAUGUCCUCAGCUAUCUCAAUUUAAACAUCUCAUAAGCUCAACCUCAAAUGUCCUCAAUAAUCGGCCCUCAAAACAUAACAGUCCAUAUUCUCCGAUUUUUUAAUAAAUUAUUCCCUCAUUGGAAAACUCUCAAAUUUUACAGACCAUAUGCUGACAUAUUGAAAGUUCACUGAUAAAAAUUUCAUAACUUGAUUCCUUCAAAAACUAUUGAAAAUAAUUGACGUUUCAGACAUCAUCAAUGCUGUCAAACAGUUUUCUGUUUUGCACACACUUGCUUUAAAAAUACAAAAAAAAUUAUUUCUUUAUCAUAAAAUCAUGAAAAUUUACAGACUCAUACUAGACAUAUGUAAAAAUCUCUGAUCCAAAUUUCAUAAUUUUUGAAGAAGUCUAGCUAUGGUAAAAAUUGUUUCGUAAUUCACGUUAUGCACUGAAAUCAUAAAUUUUCAGGUUUUCAGACUUGAAUUUGGGUGGCCCCCACACAACUUCAAGAGGUGGCCCCCAAUAUAAAAUCUCAUAAAACAGAAAUCUCAUUUGCUAAAAUCCAUUUUCUCAUUCAUAGAAAACUCAUUGCAUUUUCGUACUUAUGCCAAUGAAAUUUCACACAUACAUAUACCCAUGUACGUAAUCACGCCCAGCACAUAACAACACAUCACAUAAACACAUGAGCAGAGACAUAUAAAUCCAUAAUCGUACAUGUAAAAAAUAGGCUAUUCACACAAGUCAAACAUAUAUAUUGUUUAUUGUGAUUCAUUUAAAAGUCUAUUUAACUUACCUCUUGGCAUCCUCAUGCAACAAAUGCGUACUGAUAUCAUCAACCUAAAAUCAUCAAUAAAUUUCUUAGAAAAUAUAAUCAAGUCUCAAUAAUAAACUCUAAUGUCCUCAGCUAUCUCAAUUUAAACAUCUCAUAAGCUCAACCUCAAAUGUCCUCAAUAAUCGGCCCUCAAAACAUAACAGUCCAUAUUCUCCGAUUUUUUAAUAAAUUAUUCCCUCAUUGGAAAACUCUCAAAUUUUACAGACCAUAUGCUGACAUAUUGAAAGUUCACUGAUAAAAAUUUCAUAACUUGAUUCCUUCAAAAACUAUUGAAAAUAAUUGACGUUUCAGACAUCAUCAAUGCUGUCAAACAGUUUUCUGUUUUGCACACACUUGCUUUAAAAAUACAAAAAAAAUUAUUUCUUUAUCAUAAAAUCAUGAAAAUUUACAGACUCAUACUAGACAUAUGUAAAAAUCUCUGAUCCAAAUUUCAUAAUUUUUGAAGAAGUCUAGCUAUGGUAAAAAUUGUUUCGUAAUUCACGUUAUGCACUGAAAUCAUAAAUUUUCAGGUUUUCAGACUUGAAUUUGAAAAAUCAUAACUAAUUGAAAUCUUAUCCGAUUAACUUGAAACAAGUUUCAAAACAUUCUAGAUGAUGUCUAGUUUAACAUAUCCAAAUAUCAGAAUCAAAAUCAAUUUGUAAAAAUUACUAAGAUUUUCGUAAUAAUUCACUGUGAGCAUAUUUAUGCAAAAUCUUAAGUUUCUACUUCUAUUGCAAUCAUGCUUCUCCAUAACGAAUUAAUAAAUAAAACCAAGAAUUAAAACUUACCUCCAAAUCCAAAUCUUUUCUCAACAAUACCCAAUUCAAAUUAUGCAACUUGAUCUCAUGUGUUGCCCAUGACAGAAUAAAGAAGAAGAUUUUCUUCUUUUCUUUUCUCUCUUUUCUUUUCUCUCUUUUCUCUCCAUCUCUCUCUCUCAUUUUUCCUAUUGUUUUUUUUUUCUCAACCGAUCUCUCUUUCCCUCUCUCUUAUAAUGAGAAAGACAUACUAUUCUAUUUAUACUAGGGUAAAAAAUAGAUCACUAAAAUUAAAAGAUUUAAAUACCCUUAGGAGAAUUGGGGUAUUACAGUUCCCAUCAAUAACUAUCCUGAAAACUUCAGCACAGCUGUAGUCAAACAGCUACUGCCUAUUGUCACGGCCCGCUUGUUCCCAAGUUGUGCCGUGCGGCCUUAGGCGCCAAAUCACACUCUCUUAACCCUAAGUUAGCCUUGCACACUCCGAACGUUGCUGGAUUCAAAAGUCGAAAUGAGUAUUCACACAAACUCACUCAAGAUAGGAGGAAAGAACUUUUAUUGCUCAAAAAAAGCUUACAAUGCUUUGUGUGCUGGAACUUGUGUGUUUCUAGUGUGUCUUGAACCAAACGAUG
rnacentral:lncRNA from 1 species